rnacentral:rRNA from 1 species
UACGGGGGGAGCAAGCGUUGUUCGGAUUUACUGGGCGUAAAGGGCGCGUAGGCGGCGCAACAAGUCACUUGUGAAAUCUCCGGGCUUAACCCGGAGCGGCCAAGUGAUACUGUCGUGCUAGAGUGCGGAAGGGGCUACUGGAAUUCUCGGUGUAGCGGUGAAAUGCGUAGAUAUCGAGAGGAACACCUGCGGCGAAGGCGGGUAGCUGGGCCGACACUGACGCUGAGGCGCGAAAGCCAGGGGAGCGGACGGG